UACAGAGGGUGCAAGCGUUAAUCGGAAUUACUGGGCGUAAAGCGUGCGCAGUCGGUUAUUUAAGUCGGAUGUGAAAUCCCCGGGCUCAACCUGGGAAUUGCAUUCGAUACUGGAUAGCUAGAGUUCGGCAGAGGGAAGUGGAAUUUCAGGUGUAGCGGUGAAAUGCGUAGAUAUCUGAAGGAACAUCAGUGGCGAAAGCGCCUUCCUGGACCAGAACUGACGAUCAGGCACGAAAGCGUGGGGAGCAAACAGG
rnacentral:rRNA from 1 species